rnacentral:rRNA from 1 species
GCCACAACAGNCCCGCUGGCUCGCACGGGGUGCUCUUCAUCGAGUGUCCCGCGUUGGCCGGCAGAGUUUACUUUGAAAAAAUUAGAGUGCUCAAAGCAGGCUACACUGACGGCCUGAAUGCCUAUGCAUGGAAUAAUGGAAUAGGACCUCGGUUCUAUUUUGUCGGUUUUCUGAACCCGAGGUAAUGACUAAUAGGAACAGGCGGGGGCAUUCGUAUUGCGACGCUAGAGGUGAAAUUCUUGGACCGUCGCAAGACGAACUACUGCGAAAGCAUUUGCCAAGGAUGUUUUCAUUAAUCAAGAACGAAAGUUAGAGGUUCGAAGGCGAUCAGAUACCGCCCUAGUUCUAACCAUAAACGAUGCUGACCAGCGAUCCGCCGGCGUUAUUCCCAUGACCCGGCGGGCAGCUUCCGGGAAACCAAAGUCUUUGGGUUCCGGGGGAAGUAUGGUUGCAAAGCUGAAACUUAAAGGAAUUGACGGAAGGGCACCACCAGGAGUGGAGCCUGCGGCUUAAUUUGACUCAACACGGGGAACCUCACCAGGCCCAGACACCGGAAGGAUUGACAGAUUGAGAGCUCUUUCUCGAUUCNGUGGGUGGUGGUGCAUGGCCGUUCUUANUUGGUGGAGCGAUUUGUCUGGUUAAUUCCNAUAAC